rnacentral:lncRNA from 1 species
AAGAACAAAGUUUUGUCCAUCUUUUUUCAUCGUAGCCUAAAGUUAGAGAAGAGAAAGGAGAAGAGAAAGCUCUUGAAUGUUCGGUCACUUGGGGAAGAAAAUUGAAGGUAAGUUCAUGGUAGUUUGCUUCUAUCUUGAUGUUCAUGAGUUCUUCUUGAUUCUACCUUAACUCUUGAAGAAUAUUUUGGUUUUUUGUUGUGUUGUGAGCAUUUGGUCAUGAAUUAAAAUGAAGGAAAUGGUUGUGUUUCAUGUUCUUUUGAUGAAAAAUGGAAGAUAUGUGAAGUUGAGCCAAACAAAUGAGUAUGCAUGUGCUUAGAUGCUAAGGGGAAAAAUCGGCUAAUAUGUUGUGCUUUAAAAUGAUGAAAUGGAGAUUAUACUUAAGUAAAAUCAUAGAUAUGUGAUGAUUGAUUGGUGAUAUACAUGUUUAAAAAAAACAUGCGUGCAAGUUAUGUGUGAAAGAGUGAUUUGGUAAUAAAUCUGCUUGGGACAGAAGCAGUAACGUGAAUUUGGAAAAUCACCAUAAAUUGUGGGAGAUGAGUUAGAAGCUGAAUAAAUUAUAUAAUUAAAGCUUAAUGAGUCUAUUUUCAAAUGAAAUAAAUGAGAACAUAUUUUGAAUUCUGUACAAUAAGAAAUUUGAUUCGUAAUGAAGAGUGGUCAGAUUAGUCAAACAAUGAAACAUGGGAAACUUUAAGAAAAAUCUGGUAUUGAUUGGCUAAACCAAAAAUUCUGAAAAUUUUAUGGAUAGAAGAUAUAUGAGUCUAUUUUCAGGUAAAAUUAACGGCACUUGAUUUGGAGUUUCGUAGCUCCAGUUAUAAAUGAUUUAGUGACUGUUGUUCAGGAAGACAACUUGCAGUGAGAUUAUGAUUAUGUGGUAAACAUUGACAAAAAUUUGUUAAUGAGUUGCUUAUUUGAUUUCUUAUAAGCUUACUAUGAUAUGUAGGUGUGGUUGGCCGAAUAUUGUAAGGGGUUAAUACGUAGUUCGUAUUUGAAUAGUUAGAUUAAUGUGUUAGUAAUCCAAUUGUAGGCAGUUCAUGUGUGGAUCUCGUCAGCAUAUCGUCGCAAACAGGUGUGUAACUAACACCCUCUUUCUUAGUCUGGAUCGGCAAAAGUCAAAAAACUGAAAUGCCGAAAACCGGUAUUUUGUAGAUUUGCGAGUGUACGAAUGCUCGUGAGGUAAAUCGAUUAAUGUUUUUGGUAAGCUGCAAAAUUUGGACUGCAAAAUGCAUGAUUUCUGUGCCCUCGAUACUUUUGGGCUUAAUGGGCCAAAAUUGGAAUGAUGGGCCAACGGGCCCAAUUCAGUAAGAACCCUCGGUACGUGAUUCUGUUAGUACGUGAAAAGUAGGAAUAUGCAUGAAAAACCCUAAAAUAGAUAAAUUACUGAAAUACCUUUAAAAGUGGAAAAUUUAUAGUUUUACCCCUAUUAGAUAAAUUACCGAAAUACCCCUAGGGUUAAAUUGACCUAAAUGCAUGUUUGACUGUUGUUAUUUACUGCAUGCCAUGUUGUUAUUAUCUGAUGCAUGGGAUUGGGAUAUUGACGGAGGAAGUACUGAAAGUGGCUUGUCCACGUACUGGAGGCUUUGCCUCAAUUUACUAUUAACUGAGCAGCAAGGCUGCAACUGUAGAGUGUUGGGCUGGGUGGGUUGAGCUAUUCCCCACAUGGAGUGUAGGGCUGGUACGGGUGGAGUGUAGUGGUUGGUGGGUUGAGUAGUCUCUCCAAAUGGGCUUGCAUAUGUUAUUGAUGUUGCAUGUAUUUUGAAAUGGGCCUAUAGGCCAUACUGUUAUCUGAAUAAAGGGCUAAGGCCCAGUUUAUUAUAAUUUGAAAAGGGCUCUGGUCCAGUACCACUGUUACCUGAAUGGGCUUAGGCCCAAUAGGCUUUUGCUGACUUGGGCUUUGAAUGGGUUUUUCUUACACACUGAGUUUCCCCAAACUCACCCCUUUUAUUUUCAUCCACGCAGGAAAUCCCCAACCAUAGUAGGCUUGGAGCUGUGAGGGAAUCCGGAGUGGCCACCCGUUCUGAAAGUUUGGUUUUCUUCUGGUGAACUGGACAUCCUAUUAUUUACGUUGAGGUUUGGGUUUUUAAAUGUAAUAAGGCCGCUUAAUUAUUUUUGAUGGUUUUAAUAUGUAUUACUAAGAUAGGUAUUACUUAUUUUAACUGUUGAAAUUGGAUAGCUUUAGGG